GUAGAAUAUUUAGCGGUCAGAUUCUUCACUGAAACGCUCCCUUGUUCACCCCUCCUGUUGCUGAAGUGACAGAGGCUUUUGAGGACAAGAAGCUCCUGGGAUGCAAAACAUAAACUCCACCAGGUGCUGCUGGAAACAAUGGCCGGCCCAUGCAGGGAUCAAUGCCAGGCCACUGAUGGGCUCUCAUUCCUUCAGCAGCAGACGUGAUAAAUGACACGGCCCAUAUGUUUCAGCAGCGUAGACUCCAGCCGCCAGCCUCCUUUGUCUCCACAUCUAAAGGGAGUUAUGCUGUGAAAAAUUAAAUCCUGAUGUCUAUACAGGUAGCAGUGCUCUGGCCCCUGCCUGCACAGUCCCAGGUGUCUUGUCAGCUGUCAGAGACGUCCGACAGCAGACAGGGAUGGCAUGACCAGCGGGCCGGGCCGUGUUGGACGGGUCAGCCGUCAGCGUUGUGGACAGACAGGCAUGUGGCAGUGAUCUCGCUGUGACAGGCUGUCAGAGCCACCGGAGAGCCACCAACCAGCUCUCGCCCCCUGUCAUCCCCGCAGACAGAGGGGAGGCUCUGAAUUCUCAACAUGGCACCCUGAGUCCACCGCUUCCUUCCCCUGUUGCUGCACUGUACAUCCACUGUGGCUUCUUUAUCUGUGAAAUGCCUGGGUGUGGUGGCUGGGAGUGUUUGAGUUUAA